UAACCUGGUUGAUCCUGCCAGUAGUCAUAUGCUUGUCUUGCAGAUUAAGCCAUGCAUGUGUAAGUAUAAGUAUUUUAUAGCGAAACUGCAAAUGGCUCAUUAAAACAGUUACUGUAUUCAUGGAAGAUAAGAUUUGGAUAUUUGUGGUAAUUCUAUAAUUAAUACAUACGCAAUAGCGGCAUAUUAAAUGAAAGCAAGAAGUGUAAACUUCUACUAAAGGAUUGUUUUUAUGCAUGGAUCACAUACAUGUAAGUGAGAGUCCUUAAAAGUUUCUGACCUAUCAGGUUUCGACGGUUAGGUAUUGGCUAACCGUGCCGUUUACGGGUAACGGGGGAUUAGGGUUUGAUUCCGGAGAAGGAGCAUGAGAGACGGCUACUACGUCUAAGGAAGGCAGCAGGCGCGUAAAUUACCAAUCCUCGAUACGGGGAGGUAGUAAAUAGAAAUAAUGACGCAGGAAUUUUUUUUCUGCGAUCGGAAUGAAUAGCUCUUAAACACAGCUAUGAAAACUAUUGGAGGGCAAGUCUGGUGCCAGCAGCCGCGGUAAUUCCAGCUCCAAUGGCGUAUAUUAAAGUUGUUGCAGUUAAAAUGCUCGUAGUCGGCUCUUCACCUUUGAGUAUCCAUUGUGCUAUUGCCUGUGGUGCAUAGAAGGAGUUAGAAGUUGUCACCUCUGGUGGCUGGCUUUUAUUGUUACUUUGAGUGAAUCGUAGUGCUUCGCACAGGCAUAUGCCAUACACGAUCUACCAUGGAAUAUCCAUAAUCUGAAAGCGUUUGUUUUGGUUUCGCCGACGCUUUUUAUACAUAUAUGAACGGCUGAGGGUAUUUAUAUUCAACUGUUAGAGGUGAAAUUCUUUGAUUAGUUGAGGAUAAGCUAUUGCGAAAGCAUCUGCCAAAGACGUUUUGGUUGAUCAAGAACGAAAGUUAGGUGAUCGAAGAUGAUUAGAUACCGUUGUAGUCCUAACUAUAAACGAUGUUGCCUGAAUGUAGGACAGGUAUUAACAUACUUCUUCUGGAUUCCAUGAGAAAUCGUAAGGUUUUGAAUUCUGGGGGGAGUAUAGUUGCAAGGCCGAAACUUAAAGGAAUUGACGGAAGGGCACCACAAAGCGCGGAGCUUGCGGCUUAAUUUGACUCAACACUGAGAAUCUUACUUGGAUAAGACAUAAAAGGGAUUGACGGAUUGAUUGCUCUUUCUUGAUUGUAUGGGUGGUGGUGCAUGGCCGUUCUUAGUUCGUGGAAUAAUUUGUCUGGUUAAUUCCGUUAACGAACGAGACUUUAACUCACUAAUUUGCAUCCUGUACCAUGUGUGCAGGUGCUAAUUAGAAGGACUGCAUAUUCCAAAUAUGAGGAAGCGUGAAGCAAUAACAGGUCUGUGAUGCCCAAUCA
rnacentral:rRNA from 1 species